rnacentral:rRNA from 1 species
GAGGGUGCAAGCGUUGUUCGGAAUUAUUGGGCGUAAAGCGCGUGUAGGCGGCUUAGCAAGUCGGGCGUGAAAGCCCUCGGCUCAACCGAGGAAGUGCACCCGAAACUGCUGAGCUUGAGUGCCGGAGAGGAUGGCGGAAUUCCCCAAGUAGAGGUGAAAUUCGUAGAUAUGGGGAGGAACACCGGUGGCGAAGGCGGCCAUCUGGACGGUAACUGACGCUGAGACGCGAAAGCGUGGGGAGCAAACAGGAUUAGAUACCCUGGUAGUCCACGCCGUAAACGAUGAGAACUAGAUGUCGCGGGUGUUGACCCCUGCGGUGUCGCAGCUAACGCAUUAAGUUCUCCGCCUGGGAAGUACGGUCGCAAGAUUA